rnacentral:rRNA from 1 species
AUUGAACGCUGGCGGCAGGCCUAACACAUGCAAGUCGAGCGGAACGGCGGACGGGUGAGUAAUGCCUAGGAGUCUGCCUGGUAGUGGGGGAUAACGUCCGGAAACGGGCGCUAACACCUCAUACUAGCACAUGAGUCUAGGUGGGAUUGGCUAGUUGGUGGGGUAAAGGCCUACCAAGGCGAGGAUCCGGACCUGGUCGGAGAGGAUGAUCAGUCACAAUGGAACGGAGACACGGUCCAGACUCCUACGGGAGGCAGCAGGGGGGAAUAUUGGCCAAUGGGCGAAAGCUUGAGCCAGCCAUGCCGCGUGUGUGAAGAAGUUCUUCGGAUUGUAAAGCACUUUAAGCUGGGAGGCGUUACCAACAGAAUAAGCACCGGCUAACUUCGUGCCAGCAGCCGCGGUAAUAC